rnacentral:rRNA from 1 species
ACUUCGUAGACUCCUACGGGAGGCAGCAGUGGGAAUUUUGGACAAUGGGCGCAAGCCUGAUCCAGCAAUGCCGCGUGCAGGAUGAAGGCCUUCGGGUUGUAAACUGCUUUUGUACGGAACGAAAAGCCCUGGGUUAUACCCUGGGGUCAUGACGGUACCGUAAGAAUAAGCACCGGCUAACUACGUGCCAGCAGCCGCGGUAAUACGUAGGGUGCGAGCGUUAAUCGGAAUUACUGGGCGUAAAGCGUGCGCAGGCGGUUUUGUAAGACAGAGGUGAAAUCCCCGGGCUCAACCUGGGAACUGCCUUUGUGACUGCAAGGCUAGAGUACGGCAGAGGGGAUGGAAUUCCGCGUGUAGCAGUGAAAUGCGUAGAUAUGCGGAGGAACACCGAUGGCGAAGGCAAUCCCCUGGGCCUGUACUGACGCUCAUGCACGAAAGCGUGGGGAGCAAACAGGAUUAGAUACCCUGGUAG